rnacentral:tRNA from 1 species
AGGAACUUAGGAUAACAUACAGACCAAAAGCCUUCAAAGCUUUAAGUAGAAGUGAAAACCUUCUAGCUCCUG